GAUUUUUUAUUCAACUAUGAUUUUAAAUUGCAAGUUUAAAGGUAACUAUUAGUUAAAAAUCU
rnacentral:tRNA from 1 species